rnacentral:rRNA from 1 species
CCUCGGAUCAGGCCAGGCUACCCGCUGAAUUUAAGCAUAUUAGUAAGCGGAGGAAAGGAAACUAACAAGGAUUCCCCCAGUAACGGCGAGCGAAGCGGGAAUAGCUCAAAUUUGAAAUCUCCGGUGCUUGCACCGGCGAAUUGUAGUCUGUAGGGCCAGUUUCGCCCGAGACGGUGUCCCCAAAGUCGUCCUGGAAAGGCGGGCCGGAGAGGGUGAGAGCCCCGUGCGUGGGGGCACCGUCGGAGGUAAGAUCUGUGCCCGAAGAGUCGGGUUGUUUGGGAUUGCAGCCCAAAAUGGGUGGUAAACUCCAUCUAAAGCUAAAUACUGGCACGAGACCGAUAGCGAACAAGUACCG